AUUUUAGAUUCUUUUACUUGAUUCGUACCCUCGUGGGUCACUUCAAGUCUAUCCCAUAUCUCUUUUGCAGAAUUGCAAGUAGAGACUCUAUUGAAUUCAUUACGGUCAAAAGCACAAUAAAGCACAUUCAUUGCUUUGGUAUUUAGUUGUGCCUUCCUAAUAUCAUUGUCAUCCCAAUCUUUUUCAAGUUUGGGUAUAGUA
rnacentral:lncRNA from 1 species